CUGGCCUGGCUGAGCUUUUCACUUUUCCACUGUCUUGAGAUGUUUCUCUCAUUGUGCACUACGCUGUAUUUUUAUGGUCAACAUAUCCUAUAGCAAACAAUUUCAGGCUGAUGGCGGAAGGGAGAUUGGAUUCCGAUCGGAGAUUUGAGCCCGGGACGGGGAGCCAGGAACGCCUCAGUUCCUGGACCAGAUCUGCCACUAAAUCAGGAAUCCACAUAAAGCAAAGCCACAUGACGAGCGACUGCAGGAUGAUUUGAUUUUCUGUGCAGAGGAGGAAGCGAGUGUUUGAACGCGGCCCUUGCCUUGGCGCACCGCUGCAACCGGAGCCGCCAUUACAGGGACUGCUCGAGGUGGAUGCAGUGGUCCCUGUCAGAUGUGUGCCAAAUUGAAAUGCCAGCAGCUGUGUGAGCAGCGGGAUAAUCGUAUCUGCCGCUUCUUUCUUCCAAGUCCUGACAUUCCCAUUUCAGCAGUGGUGAGUCCGUGCUCAGCUCCACAGGAGGAAUUCCAUUGACUGAAGGCAUGCUGAUGCCUGGAGGAUGAGGUUACAUGCUCAUCAGUCACCUGUCUGACUGCGAACCCACUGGAUUGACUUCCAAGUGCUGUUCUGUGGGGCGUUUCCCCCUUCCUCCCUGCAGGACCACCUCACAGGUGUUCAGGGGACAGCAAUAUGCUACUGCUUCUCCUGCCAAAGUCACUUUCCCAGCAGUUCAGUUGAAAGAGGACAGAUAGCAAGAAACCAAACGGUGCAGAGGCAAACAAAGGAACCCUGAGGAUCCCAUCAGCAGUGAUUGCUUUGCACACGAACGGGCUUGCUGGGAGGACUGACCAAACCUCAGUGAUAACAUCAGUGCUCCCCAGCUGAAAGUGGGAAGCUUGUAUUGCUCUACUGUUGUCAUAAGAAGGCACAGACUUUGGAAGCAGCAGCUCGUUCCCCUUACAGAUUUGCAGUGUAUUCUCCUUUUUUCCAUUCUGUACCAUUGAGUGUGAUGAUGGUAACUGAAGGAAACUUUUGUUUUCUUUGUUUGUUUUUCUGUUUUGUUUUGUUUUUCCCUGACUUUAUUUUUGAGAUACUAAUUUCAUUAUUUGAGGGUGUGUGUAAGAUUCUGGAAGCACAUUUUAUAUCUGCUGUGCUGUGAGAUCUUUGGUAUGGUAUUGACUCAUUCAUUGGCACCUGAGAGAGGUUUGGGGAAUUCAGCAAGCUUUCAACAAUCCAGUUUGAGAGACUACACAGAAUUAUGUCUCGCUCAGGAGAUGCUGCUGUUGGCUUAUUCCCUACCAUCACAGCAGGAGGGGACAGGAGGGAAAAAUUUGCUCAGUUUUUUGUUAUGAUCCAUCUUCAUCCAUGAUAUGGCAUCUGCACUAUGGAAUUCCCCCUGAAUGAAAGGGAAUGACAACGUCUUCACCUCCUGAAGACAGGAUACAGCUCUCAGACUGAAUUAGCUGCAGCUGGAUAGCUUUUUGAAAUCUCCACAGUUAUCAGACCUGGAAGAUUUUUCUAUCGUGAUGGCCUGGGCUAGGCAUUUGGUGGAUUCAUCUCAGUGACUGUGAAAUUCCUGAGGAUGUUAUCACUUUCAAGUCAGAUUAACAGAGUAAUUUCCAGUUACCACCAGUGAAGAGAUUCCUACCAAUGCUGGCAGGCAAUUGUUCAGUCUUAUGGAGCUUCAAGUAACUGUACAGUUUGAAAGUCUGAGUUUGCUGGACUUUGCCUGCUUUGGCAGUGUGCGCAGCAUGGAGCUUGCAGGAGCUGCUCACUGCUUGACAACCGUGCAACCAUGCUACCAGAACUCCUGAUACUACUCUUAAAGUGGACCUUUCUUUGAGAAAGAAAAUGAUUCCAUCUUUUUUGAUCAGGUUCUUCCUCUAGAGGAGUUCCUGCAGCUACAGGACCAGGAGCAGUGCUUCAGACUUGUCAGAAGUUUUACUGUUUUUUUUUUUUAACAUGAUCCUGAUCAACGGGACACUUCAAUGCCUCCUAAAUAUUAUGGACUUCAGAGUCACUCAAAUGCUUGGCGAUUGUCUUACUGUUAUUUUAUUGCCAGAAGAUCGAGGCAACGCCAGAAGUGACUUGAUAGGAGACUGCUGCAGGGAGGCAUGUGCAUUAGCAAAUGAAGUCUGAUACAUUGCAGCCAUGGGGAUCAAGUUGGAAGAGUGUGCAUUCACUGGAGCUCUGUAACCCAUGUGCUCUUCAGAUGACCUCAUACACCUCACAGUUGCCAGGACUCAUCCUGUCUGGAUUACAGGUUUCUCUCAUUUCUGCUUCUCUCAGUGAAGUUGUCCUCAGUGCUCACCUCACGUAAACAGCUAGGCUCAGUGGAGGACCAUCCUCAUCUGGUGGCUCUUUGGCACAAGUGCCAUAACACUUGCUCAUUUAUUAUUAAAAAAAAUCUUAAAACUCAGAAGAUGAAGAAUGAAUUAAUCCUUGGAACAUCUGCAUAUGGUUUAAAGAGAAAUUCAACGCGUUUACUGAAUUCCUGUUUUUCAGAUGUCUGAGGUCAAGAAAAGGUUAAAGUUGUUCACAAGCUCUGGCCUUAGAAGUUAAUUCAGUGCUGUGCUGCGAGAGCUACAGAGUAGGUCCUUGGAACAGUGAAUUGCUGGUUUGAUAUCAAGGUCUGUGGGCUUUAAUAAUAUAAUUAGUUUGUUUUCUAAGGAAAUCCUAGCAGGGACAUUAUGGUCAUAUAAAGUCAUUAUACUGUUUUACAACAUAACUUUAACGAUGUUUUGGAAUGAUCAGAGUCUCUGGGAAAGGAUUCUAUUUUUUAUUACUUGUGGGAUAUCUUUAAACUGUCAUAGCUACAACAGUGCCGCUUGGAAUAGGUGCUCUACAGUUCCAAAGAAAAGACAAAAGAUAUUUAGAGGCCUAAGUUGGGUUGCUGGAGCAUAUCUGUCCAUAGAAAGCCUGAAAGUUAAAUUGUGUGGAUUCCACACCCUUCUGACAAGCAGCUCCUGUUUUGUAGGAGGUGGACAGUUGGGGUAAUCUAGGUAUUUUAUUGCAUUACCACAGGAACAGAUAGCCUAGGAUGCUACAAGUUUUGCUUUUCAUAGUUCUCUGUCAGAAUUCAGGAGUGAGCAGUUUUAAAAGUAUUAGAAAAGGAAGAGGGCAUAUUUUCCAGAACUUUGGUAUCCUGCGAACUCAAAGACAGAAGAAACAUUAAACUAGUCAAACUAAAAAACUAGUUCUGCUGCCAUUUCUGCUCUGCUAAUUCUGAGGCAACACCAUCUGCUGGAGGAGAAGGGAGACAAAGAACCAUUAAUUUGGGAUGAGGGGAGCAUGCUACAGAGAGGUUUCCCUGUGGUGCAGAGCAGCUUCUGGAUGUGCUGAGGGACGGGUCUGUUAGGGCCUCAUUUUCUUCCUCCUCUGUAAACUAUGUCUAACAGCUUCAGUGAGAGAAAGCAUCAAGCCCCAUUGUGUUCAUAGAAAUACAACAUAUUUUAAAGCUGUAGUUAAUGGAUAAGCUGCUUUCUGAUUGGGUGAGCUGCACAAUAAAUCUCUCCAUGAGCCAAGUGCAGUGCAGCUUGUUCAGGAACAGUGAAAUGAGCCACUGUCACUUUGCUGCACUCUCAUACAUCAGGCAAAACGCUUCCAUCUUCAUCAGUCUUUUAGUAAAACAGAAAUAAAACAAUCGUAACAGAAUGGUGUCACUGGAUCCGUGGCACCUGCUUUAAAAAUAAAUCUCUGAGCUUUGUCUUUGCUAUUACUUUCAAUAAAUGUCCUAGCAUUGCCACAGCAUUUAUCUAGCAGCAGGAAACCAUUAUCCUAUGACAACAAUCUAUUCCAUUAACAUUAGCUCUUAAUUGUAAGAUUGUUUAUUAGACAGCAAAAGCUACUGAAUUAUACUAGAAUGAUAAAAAGAGUUAUGGUCAUGGAGUACAGCAGUCACUCCAGUUCUGAAAAACAACUUUAGAAAAGUAGAGAGCUAUAUUUUCAUAUGAAAAAUAAUGUAAUAUUUGUAUGCAAGAAAAUGUUUUUAAAUAAUGUAUUACAUCAGCAAAAUAACUCUUAAAGAGUUAAUGUUAAAAAUUGUUACUGAGAAGCUUUUGCUUUGAUAAAUGGCAUAACAAAAAAGCUGAAUAGAAAGCUCAGAAACUUGCAUAGUUCUUCCUGAAAGGCUGUACUGAGUCAAACAGAGAAUCACAGUAACAGAAGCACAUUUGUCUGGCGGAGUCAACAGAAGGAAUGUUGCAAAAUUGAGAUAUGAAGAACCUGACUGCAGAAUAGAAGAACUGUCAUUCUGAUUGUUUGUCAUUAUUGUUUCAUGUCCAGUUAAGUGAACUUCGAGUGACAGUUGUGUCAUAACUACUGGCAUCUAUGUAAAUUUCAAAUCAAAUGCAAUAGAGGCAGUUCUGCCAGACACAAGUCUCCAGACUGCUUUUCCUCUUUACUUUGGUAACCCUCAAUUUUCUUAUACUAUGCUGUUAGCCCUUAAAUUAAAAAGACAACUUCAACAAGAGAUCCCUUUAAUGUGUGCUUUUCAGAUCUCAUUCCGUACCUUAUUUUUCCCUCAGCUCUUCAAAACAAUAGCUGAUGUCAACAUUUCUAUCAGAAACAAUCACCAUAAACAUUUAGAUAUAUUAGCAGAAAGUGCUCCUUCCCAUCGAUCACAUACAUCAAAAAUCCUUGGAAACUUUUAAGUUGUGGAAUUCCCCUGAAGACCUAUAGAGAAAAUGGCUCAAGUGAACACUCCUCUGUUCCUUCAGUGGAGCCCGAGUCAGUUGUGACGAGCAUCUGCUCUGUGGGUAGGUGCAAAAUACACGGCGAAAAUAUCAGCCGUGGAUCCCUUCUGUAAAUAAUAGCCUUGUCCAGAGGUUAUGGGGCCUUCACAAGGACACCAGUCGCACCCCUCCAUGGCACUGUGUUACAGUAAGUAACUCGCUUCCUGGAUGCACUUGUAACAGGCAGCUAUUCUAAUGACACAGGAUAUGCAGAUGUGUCCAGGUCUUUAAAAAGUCUUCCAAUGCAAUUAUUAAAGUAUUAUGUGCAGAUAACGCCACCAAAAACAUUGGGCAUGCUGUUCAUUCAGUUGAGCAUGAAACAACUUCCUUCUGAAUAUUUUAAACGUACUUGACUAAUUAAUUGAACAAUUAAUAAGGGCUAGAGUUAAAUUUCUAUUUUUCAUUGUAACAUUGUUUCAGAGCAUUGUUUUAACUAAAUUCUGCUAGGACUUUUUUUGGAAACCACACCAAAGUGCAGCUAUGAUGUUAAACAAAAAUGUUCCUUUGACAAAUGAAAUCUUAAAAAUGGCUACAAGAAAGGAAAAAGUCAGCUUUGAGUGGAAAACAUUUAAUAUGUUUUGAUGAUUUCUUAUCUCAGACAGAAGGGAAGACAAGUUGAUCUUCUCUGCUGAAACUUUUUGAAGUGAGUUCUGACUGAAAAGAUGUGGUGUUUCAACAAAAACAAAUUGUUAUAAAACAUGAUGUAUGCUCAGAAGCAUUAAUGUGUACCUCUCUGCUCCAGGUUUGAACAUUUCUGUCCAUUGAACUAGCCUGUUUCAUUUAUUUUUUAAAUUCUUAUCCAGUUGAUCUUUUUUUGUUCUUCUAUAAGUUUACAGUAGUUCAAUGGCUGCUUUUAUCUGUGAUGUGGGCUUUCAAACAGCACCAAACUCUGCUGUCCCAUCCUGUAAUCUGUCCUUUUGUUAUGGUGACUAGCGAACAGAGGCAACAUGUUAGUGCAAGCACUAUAAAAAUAUCUGUGAAGAAAACAUUCUUUCACUCUAAAGGAUAAGUUCCAUAAGAAUAUAUAUUCUUAAGUAUUUGCACAAUACUUAAAUAUGGUAUGGAUUUUUCUUUUCAAAGGUGGUAAUAUCCUAAUCGUAAAUAUCUUCUUGUUUAUAUGUAUCAUUUUACAGAUUUGUAAUCACAGAAAUCAAUUGCUAGAAUCCAUUUAAGAAAAUCAAAAUAGUUUAACUGAUUUACUUAAAAAAAUGCCUUGUUAGACCACGGAAUUUAAAGUCCUCUUUCAAAAUUAAGGAUGUUUUAUGUAGCAAACUUAUCAUUACACAUUACAUUCUAGUGGCACGUAAAGACUUCUGAUUUAAAACAUGAAUUCUGUGUAGGUUCAAACUGAUGUCUUUGACUUCAGUUCCAGAACUCAAUUUCAGGACUUCUGCUGCUGGUGGCUCAUGGCAGUAUAUUAGUUCUUCCAAUAGGGAUGUGCUCAGGACAAAUUAGUGAACGUAAUUUUAGCUGUAUGAGGUCAUUACAAAUACAGUCUUAGCUCUUCCUAGAGUGGACUUCAUUGUUAAUAUAAAUAUAUAUCUAUAGUUACUGACAUUUAUAUUAUUUGGCUCCUGUCCUAAGUUAUGGAUACAGUGAUGAUAAAAGCCCUUACCUAAGUGAGUCAUGCUUACUAAUUACUUCCAUGGUACUGGGUUCCUGUAAAUAAAGUUACUCAUGUAUUUAUAAGCAAGUCAAAAUUUAUACAUACGUUUCUAAGAGUGAGUUAUCUUUCUCUCUGGGGCAAACAGCACAGUCUGCUGUUUGGAAAAGAAUGCUGAGAGUAAGGACAUCCAGGGUGCUUCCUUGCUUCUGCGAGGGUGUGUGCUCUCCCCUGUUGUUGGAUAUCCAAGUAAAAUACUUAAUUUGGUCACAUUUUUAAAUUAAGACCCUUCUGCAUUAUUUCAAGGUAGGAAAUGGCUGUUGAUUUUUCCUCGCUGUUUCCAAAGAGGCUGGGGUAAGAGAGUCUCUGUCUAAUUGUUUGUUCUAAAGAUGUAGCUUUCAAGACACAAAGCCUAGCAGUGUGACGUGGAAGAUCUCAAGACAAAGCAGCAGCCUCAACAUUUCUCUCUAAUGAGAACAGGAAAAGACAAUUGAGAUCCCGUAGGAAUGCAGUACAUUUAGGAGAGAAGCAGAGCUCCCUUCACGAAUGGUGAGAGAACCCUGGUGAAUGCUGGACUACCUGCUGUCUCUGGGUGUGACUAGGUGAGUGAAGGAUUUGGAUCACAGCCACAGUAACGUUUUCCAGACAUUUAGAUUGCAACUACUACGCCAGCAAUUUUAUGCCUUCCUUUCUCUGACUCCAACAGUACGCAAGAUAAGCAGCCAGAUUUUCUUCUGCAUUGUGUUUUUUAUCCAUUCAGCCAAAAUUAACAGUCUUCAAGGAUAAUGUAUGCCAAGUGAAUUUAAAUCUUGCGGACUCAAAUCGACCUAAAGUUGAUGGAUACAUUCAUGCCUACUGCUGAAAUCUACCAAUUACACAGAACUAUGCUAACUUACCAUAGAAACAUCUCAUCUAAUAGCACAGAUGAUGUUGAACUAACUAAUUACAUUAUGGCACAUAGACAAUGAAAAACAUAACGAAGAUGACAGCACAGCAACAACAGAUGCUGCACAAAAGAAAAAUUAGAAAAAUAUUGCUCUGCAAAAUGCUGUCUGUUAAGGUUUCUUCUGUUAAAAUUAAUCACAAAAAUUAGUGAAGAUUAGAUUUCAGCAGCAGAUAUGAGCAUUGUAAUGCUAUUUGGAAAACGUCAUUAAACCAUUUAAAGUCCUACUCCUUCAGAAGGUAAUUCCCAUUUUUCGUAUCACUAUCAGUUUUAAGAUGAGUAAACAGUUUAGUGCCGAUGGCAUUUUCUUGGGAGAAUAUCUUUCCCAGUGAGGAGAGGUCCCGAUGGCUCUUCCAGAGCUGUGUUUGGUAGCUUCCAGCCAUUAGAACUUAGAUAAUUAGGCAACUCAGAUUUUAUUUUAGCUUGGCAUUUGCUCUGGUCUGUGCUCUUGGCUGUCAGUGACAGUUGAUUAUCUGUAGCGUGCCUUGUUACUUGAUAUAUUUUAAACUGUAACAGAUCCUAAAUUCCAAAUCUGAAACUGCUGAGUAUGUUUAAAUGUAAUAUAUACACAGGGAUUACAUCCAGAUGAUACACUUCAUAGACCUGUGAUAAAAAAAAAAAAAAAAAAGCAUCACUUCUAGCCACCACGCUGGUCCUCAGCCCCUGCCGUCCUCCCCCCAGUAGCUUUCCAUGAGCUCCCGGCUGCUUCAGCACCAAUCCUGAGUGUAAUCUAGUUGAUGGAGAGAGACAGAAAUGGGCUUUUCCCCUAAAUAUAUAUUUCCUCUAAAAAUGCUUCUGAUGC